rnacentral:lncRNA from 1 species
CGGCGGCGUCCAGAGGGCAGCGGCGGCGGCGGCGUCUCGGCGACGGUUCCCUGGUCGCCCCCGGCUCCUGCUCCCUGAGCCCGGGUUUCAUCACCUUAAAUGGUUUUGAACCAAUGAAGCUGUAUUCCCUUAAAAAGACGGACAGCCCAUCGUGUGAACUAUAGAGUUUGUGGACAGACUUAUAUUGGUGAGUUAUUGUGAAAUAUCUCCAGGUAAAAGUUCAGUUUUCUAGAAUC